AUGAGAAGAAGUCGUAGUAAGAAGGAUGGUUACUGGAAUUCAAAGAGUAGCUUAGCUAUUCUAGAUAAUGCCUACUCUGAAGGAAGCCACAAUGACAUUCACAGAGACCUACAGGAUGGUGUCUCCUCCAAAUGCUUCAACAUAAAAACUGUAUGCCCGAGGUUGUACUUGGUGCUUUUGGUUCCAGGCUUUUAUAAAAUCUACAUUCUGUGGUAAGUAAAGUUAAUAUUUAAAAGUCUCCUUUAAAUGACCUCUCCUGCCAUCUUCUCCAUGGGUAGCCUUGACAUAGCCAACCACUCUUCCAUCCUCAGAGGAAGUAGGCCUUCCCCCAGUCUCUGGGUGUGGCUGUGGUAGAUCCUCUGCAGGGAAUGCCCUGGUGUGCCUGUCUGCUAAUCACUGUAGUGCAUCAAAUGGUGAAGAGGACAUUGACUCCAACUUACAUUUC
rnacentral:lncRNA from 1 species